rnacentral:lncRNA from 1 species
UUAUAAAAUAACCUUUUAAAAUUUUGUUAUUUGUGAAAUAACCCUGCCAAAAUUAUAUUUAAAAAACUAAACUCUUAAAGACGGUGAAUAAUUCACCGUUUUCAUAAAGAACCUAAUUUCUCAGAAAAGUGGUGAAUGAUUCACCGCCUUUCACUUAUUUAUUAUUUUUUUCUAUAAUCCUAACAACCAUAUAAAUAUUUCAACAAAUCACAUAUAAUUUUAACAACCUGAAAAUUCUAAUAAUCUAUCCAUACAAUCCUAACAAUUAAAAAGAUCCCAAUAAUCUAUCCAUACAAUCAUAAUAAUCAAACAUCACAUAUAAUCUUAGCAAUUUGAAAUCCUAAUAAUAUAUCCAUAUAAUCCUAACAAUCAAAAAAAUUUAAUAAUCUAUCCAUACAAUUUUAGCAAUCAAACAAAAAUUCUAAUAUUCCACACACAAUCCUAACAACCUCACUUUUUUUUAUUUCCCGUAUAAUCUACGUACAAUUUUAACAACCUCAUUUUUUUUCUCUUUUCCAAAAAAUUAUGAAGAAGACGGUGAAUGAUUCACCACCUUUAAAAGAACUUAGAUACUUUCAGAAUGCGGUGAAUGAUUCACCGCGUUUUGAGAGUUAAUUUAUCAAAUACAAAUUUGAUAAGGUUAUUUUGCAAA